rnacentral:tRNA from 1 species
GCAUGGGUGGCUCAGUCGGUGAAGCACCCAACUUCAGCUCAGGUCAUGAUCUCACUGUUCGUGGGUUCAAGCUCCACUUCAUGCU